rnacentral:misc_RNA from 1 species
GAAAUGCGAUAAGUAAUGCGAAUUGCAGAAUUCAGUGAGUCAUCGAAUCUUUGAACGCACAUUGCGCCCUUUGGUAUUCCGAAGGGCAUGCCUGUUCGAGCGUCAUUAUCAACCCUCAAGCCCUGGCUUGGUGUUGGACCUGGCCCGGGAGUUACACUCCAAGGGCCGGUCCCAAAGGCAAUGGCGGGCGUUGGAGCACCCCCCGGUACAAUGAGCUUUCUAAGCACGUACCGACGGCGGGUCUCCGGGCCCCGGUCUUUCAUUAUUUUAUCAAGGUUGACCUCGGAUCAGGUAGGAAUACCCGCUGAACUUAA